AGAGUUUGAUCCUGGCUCAGGACGAACGCUGGCGGCGUGCCUAAUACAUGCAAGUCGAGCGGACCGAACAGGAGCUUGCUCUUGUUUGGUUAGCGGCGGACGGGUGAGUAACACGUGGGUAACCUACCCGUAAGACCGGGAUAACUCCGGGAAACCGGACGCUAAUACCGGAUAACACCAAAGACCGCAUGGUCUUUGGUUGAAAGGCGGCUUCGGCUGUCACUUACGGAUGGGCCCGCGGCGCAUUAGCUAGUUGGUGAGGUAACGGCUCACCAAGGUGACGAUGCGUAGCCGGCCUGAGAGGGUGACCGGCCACACUGGGACUGAGACACGGCCCAGACUCCUACGGGAGGCAGCAGUAGGGAAUCUUCCGCAAUGGACGAAAGUCUGACGGAGCGACGCCGCGUGAGCGAAGAAGGUCUUCGGAUCGUAAAGCUCUGUUGUUAGGGAAGAAGAAGUACCG
rnacentral:rRNA from 1 species